rnacentral:rRNA from 1 species
AGAUUGAACGCUGGCGGCGUGCCUAACACAUGCAAGUCGAGCGGUAACAGGUGUAGCAAUACAUGCUGACGAGCGGCGAACGGGUGAGUAAUGCUUUGGAAUCUUCCCAGUAGUGGGGAAUAACCAGUCGAAAGAUUGGCUAAUACCGCAUACGUCUGUAAAGGGAAAGCGGGGGCUCGUAAGACCUCGCGCUAUUGGAUGAGCCAAAGUCGGAUUAGCUAGUUGGUGGGUAACGGCCUACCAAGGCGACAAUCCGUAGCUGGUCUGAGAGGACGACCAGCCACACCGGAACUGAGACACGGUCCGGACUCCUACGGGAGGCAGCAGUGGGGAAUAUUGGACAAUGGGGGAAACCCUGAUCCAGCGACGCCGCGUGUGUGAAGAAGGCCUGCGGGUUGUAAAGCACUUUUAGUGGGGACAAAAGCUACGGAUUAAUACUCUGUGGUCUUGAUUUAACCCAAAGAAAAGCACCGGCUAACUCUGCGCCAGCAGCCGCGGU